ACAGUGUGUAGUGUGUGUAUAUAAUGUAAUGUAGUGUGUGCAUUAUAUACACACACUACAUUACAUUAUAUACACUCACUACAUUAUA